rnacentral:lncRNA from 1 species
UAACCUUCUGAAAUCUUUGGGAGUAGAAAUGAUUAAAAUCAUUCUUAAAGUGACAAAAAUGUUUAUAAACUUUGUGCUGGGGCAAUACUUUUUUGGUUACAUUUAUGACUUAGCUAUGCAUCUACAUGUAUGCCUUCUACUUUGACCAGUUCAGAUUUUCAGGAGAACUUGGUUUGACUACACACAUAUUUAAAAAUACUAAAUCUGUCCUCAUGGAGUUUGAAAUCUAGUUAGACAAGCAAUACCGUACAUCUGAUUGACCAUUUCUUGCUAGACCCCUGUACAUCCUUUGCCGUGAGGCUCUCUGAAGAUGUCUUUUUAAGCCUGUGCUUUACUUCUUGAUGUGAUUUCCAACCGUGUGGAAGAAAUAAGCAUCUGGACUCUAAGAAACUAGUUUAUAUUCAUCCAGAGACUGUAACCCUGAAUGAAUGAAUUACAGGAAAAAUGAGGCCUUAAAGCAGUAUGAUUUCCCUUUUAAAAUAGUUAAGAGUUAUUUACAGAAUGAGAGGAAAUAUGGAAACUUAGGACUUCUAAAUGCAGAAAGAGUUGAGGCUAGACAAAGUAUAGAAAAUCAGACACUUGGGGG